GACGAACCGUGCGAACGUUGUUCGGAAUCAUUGGGCGUAAAGCGCGUGUAGGCGGUUCCGUAAGUCCGCUCUGAAAGCCCAGGGCUCAACCCUCGGAUGCCGGUGGAUACUGUCGGGCUUGAGUACGGAAGAGGCGAGUGGAAUUCCUGGUGUAGCGGUGAAAUGCGCAGAUAUCAGGAGGAACACCAAUUGCGAAGGCAGCUCGCUGGGACGUUACUGACGCUGAGACGCGAAAGCGUGGGGAGCAAACAGG
rnacentral:rRNA from 1 species